rnacentral:rRNA from 1 species
GCAUGAUAGCACCAUUAAAGAUUUAUUGGUAAACGAUGGGGAUGCGUUCCAUUAGGUAGUAGGCGGGGUAACGGCCCACCUAGCCGACGAUGGAUAGGGGUUCUGAGAGGAAGGUCCCCCACAUUGGAACUGAGACACGGUCCAAACUCCUACGGGAGGCAGCAGUGAGGAAUAUUGGUCAAUGGGCGAGAGCCUGAACCAGCCAAGUAGCGUGAAGGAUGAAGGUCCUACGGAUUGUAAACUUCUUUUAUACGGGAAUAAAGUGAGCCACGUGUGGCUUUUUGUAUGUACCGUAUGAAUAAGGAUCGGCUAACUCCGUGCCAGCAGCCGCGGUAAUACGGAGGAUCCGAGCGUUAUCCGGAUUUAUUGGGUUUAAAGGGAGCGUAGGCGGGUUGUUAAGUCAGUUGUGAAAGUUUGCGGCUCAACCGUAAAAUUGCAGUUGAUACUGGCGACCUUGAGUGCAACAGAGGUAGGCGGAAUUCGUGGUGUAGCGGUGAAAUGCUUAGAUAUCACGAA